AACCUCUACAAUGCACGAAAGUGUGAUAGGGGGAUUCUCAGUGCUUAUGCAUUGCAUAGGCUUUUUCCAUUGGUAAACACAAUGGAGAAUAAGUGGUGGGUAAGACUGGUGCCAGCCGCCGCGGUAACACCAGCGCCACGAGUGGGGGUCGCGAUUAUUGGGCCUAAAGCGUCCGUAGCCUGUCUUGUAAAUCCUUUGUGAAAUCGUCCAGCUCAACUGGACGGACUGCAGAGGACACUGCAAGACUCGAGACCGGGAGGAGCUAGAGGUAUUUCGUGGGGAGCGGUAAAAUGCUAUAAUCCACGGAGGACCACCUAUGGCGAAGGCAUCUAGCCAGAACGGAUCUGACGGUGAGGGACGAAAGCCAGGGGAGCGAACCGG
rnacentral:rRNA from 1 species